rnacentral:rRNA from 1 species
CAGUAGCCGCGGGAAAACGGAGGGUGCAAGCGUUACUCGGAAUCACUGGGCGUAAAGGACGCGUAGGCGGAUUAUCAAGUCUCUUGUGAAAUCUAACGGCUUAACCGUUAAACUGCUUGGGAAACUGAUAAUCUAGAGUAAGGGAGAGGCAGAUGGAAUUCUUGGUGUAGGGGUAAAAUCCGUAGAUAUCAAGAAGAAUACCUAUUGCGAAGGCGAUCUGCUGGAACUUAACUGACGCUAAUGCGUGAAAGCGUGGGGAGCAGACAGGAUUAGAUACCCCUGUAGUCCCUGUCUCUUAUAU